AGUACUUUACUCUAAACUAAUUGAAUAGAUGUAAUGCUUUGGAAUUCAAAGAAACAAACCAUGCACAAAUUUUUUAAAUAUGGUCAAAUUUGUUUCCCCAUAAAAAUCAUAUCCCAAUAAAUUUUCCAAAAUGUCAACAUGAAUAUCCACUUUUCCUGCAUUUAAAACAGCAAAUAUUCAGGCAUGCAUGAAUAUAUAUAUAUAUAUAUAUAUAUAUAUAUAUAUAUAUAUAAAUCAUUUACUUCCAGAAAAUAGGAGAAAGAAAAUAACUACGUUUAUCGAUUGGACAAGUAGCAAAUAUUCGAUGAAAUAAUUGAUUUAUUCAAUUGAUACAAUCCUUAAUAAGAGGUUUUGAGCUCUAGAAAUCGACAAAAUCAUAAUAGUAAAGAUGAAAAAAUAGUCACUUUCUCGACUUAAUUAUGAUUGAAAAAUAGCUGAGUAAAGCAACUAGUACCUCCCUGAACUAUGACCAAAUUUGCUACGACACGCUCUAACUUCACAGGGGUCCUAUUACCCCCAUGGACUAAAUUUUAGCAUAUUUUUUUUAAUUUUUUUAGAUGACGUGACACCUUUGACGUGGAUCCUAUUUUAUAUAAUAAAGGUGUCACGUUAGCACAAAAGGAUGUCAAAAAUACGCUAAAAUUGAGUUCGGGAGUUAACAGGACUUUUGUAAAGUUGGAGUGUGUCGUAGUAACUUCGGUCAUAGUUCAAGGGUACGUACUAGAUGCUUAUCUCAAAAUAGCUAGAUUCAAACGUCAUUAAUAAAAUAGCCAAUUUUCGAAAUCGGCUACAGUAUCCUAGAUUUUUCACUUGUUUAAGUUCGAAAUUUUCAUGAUACCGACAUAAUGUUUAAUCAGUGAAUUCUGAAUACCAAAUAAAUUAUUUAUAAAAAAAAAAAAAAAACUUAUUUUUACUUUUGUGUGUGGGAUCUUUUCAUUGACAACUAAGACAGCCAAAUCAACACAAGAUUAUUAUGUUUGAUAAUUAUUUUCUUUAUCUUUCAAUGCUUUAAUUUCUUCCAAUUUUUUCCAAUUAAAUAAUCAAAAGAAAAAUAAAAGGUGUCUAAUCUUAACUUUUUAAUUCAAUCCUGUCUUUUUUUUGGGCCAAAAGUUAAAUAACAUUUGCCUAUGAUAAAACAAAAUUCUAACUUUUUUAACUAUUAGUAAUUAUUAUUAGCUAAGUCCAAAUAUAAAAUUGCAUGUUGCAUCCCAAUAUGUUUAACUUUAAACCAACAGUGUCAGUGGGAAAUUUUUUUUUUAAAAAAACUUGACCUCUAAAGUAAAAGCAAAUAAAGCAAUUUAUAUUUAAAACAUUUAACUUUAGUACUAAGUAUUAAUAAAAGCAAAUAAAGCAAUUUAUAUUUAAAACAUUUAACUUUAGUACUAAGUAUUAGUGUGGAUUUGGACAUACAAACAACAACAACAUACCCAAUAUAGUCUCACGAAAUGGGGCCUAAGAAAGAUAAAGUAUACAACGGAGCCAAGAUUUCAACUCAGAGGAUUCAAUAUUUGAAGAAAACUUAGUCGAAGGAGGUUCACGUACUAUAGAUACAUAAAAAAUAAUUUUAAUAAUGUAUAAAUGGUAUAAUUUUUCGUCGAAGGAGAUUCGGAUGAACCCCUGCAUGCCAAAGGGCUAGCUCCGCUCCUAGCUAGUGUACAUGAACUGUACCUUUAUAUCAGAGGUGAGGUAGAGACGCUAUUAACGAUAGACACCCGGUUCAAGACAAAGACAGUCUAAAAAAAUGUUAUGAACAAAAGAUAGUAACGAAAACAACAGAUAGUGUAGCUGAAUAUUACUAUAAUCAAAUAACUCUUGAAUCCGUCCAUAGCCAACAUUUCACACCUCCGCAAUGACCCAUUCAUGCAUCUCCUCAUAACAAGCCUAAACCAUCUCAACCUCGCUUCCCGUAUCUUGUCUUCCACUGAAGUCACUAUUUUGGACGUAAAAAUUGUGAAAUUCGAAAAAAAAAAGUAGUAUUUGAUCUCAAGUUGAAAAUGGAAGAUUAUUUGAAAAUCGAAAUUGUGUUUGGAUAUGAAUACAAACUGAAGUUAUUUUAAAUUUUAUGUAAGUAAUUUGGGGUGAAAAUUGUGAAAACAGUAUUUUCGUGUUCUUUUUAUUCCAAAAAAUUAUAACAAUUCUAUAUCAAAAUAGUUUUUUCAGAAUAAUAUUUCAGAAAAAAGUGAAAAAAUAUUCAUGACCUAAUGGGCAAUUAGCAUCCAAGAAUGUGAAAUCAAAAAAAAAAUAAAAAAUCUCACUAAGUAUUGUUUUAAACUUUUAAUUAGAAUAAUUGUCAAGGAGUCAGCUUCUGCAAUAACAGCUAAUAUAAUUAAAAUGAAAUAAAUUCACUAUAUUUAUAUUGAAUACUUUACAUGCAUGUACCUGCAAAGGACAAUAUAUAAUUGGACUAAAUUUUAUUAUACAUUAGUACAUAUAAAUAAUUAAUAACUUUUUUCCAGUACAAAUCUGUCAUGACCUGGCACAGAUCAUAAUGAAUAAUCAAGCAAAUAUGUAAUUAAGUUUAUCUUCUAUACACUCAUAAUGAAUAAUAUAAUUUUUUCCAUCACCAAUUAUAGGGCUUGUUUGGUAAAAGAGAUAAAAGAGAUAACUAAUCUCGAGAUUAAUUUUAAGAUGCGAUUAUCCUAUGUUUGGUUGAAAAAAAUGCACGGAUAACUCAUUGUGGAAUUAGUUAUCUCAAGAUUGUAGUGUUAUUUUUAACGAUGGGAUAACUAACUAGAAUAACUAAUCUCAAAACAAUUAAUUCCAGGAUAACUUAUUUCCCAGCCAAACGACCCUUAAGUAAAUGAAACCACUGCUUUCCUAUUAGUUGUCAUGUUUAUUCAUUGUCGUUUUUUCCUUUUCGUUACUACUUUAAUUUGUUUCAUUUGAGUCGAGAGUCUUUUCAAAACAGUUUCCCUACGUACCUUCAAAUGGUAGGGGUAAGAUAAGAUCUGCAUACACCUAUAUAUAUAUAUAAAAAGAAACAAUUUUUCUUUAUGUCAUACAAAGAAGAAGUAAAAGUGGGAUCUGAUCAUAUAAAAUUAAAGCAAGAAAAAGAUUAUAUACUAUAUAUAUGUUUUUUUUGUUUUUUGUUUUUCAUCCGGUGUCCGGUACCUGCAUUGGAAACCGACUAAUUCGAAUUCGCGCCGGGUAGGGCUCCAUUUGGGGUAGUGCUCCCAACAGAGUUUUUCUCCAUGCCCAAGGUCGAAUCCUCAACCUCUGGUUAAGGGUGGAGCAGCCCCAUCCGCUGCACCACAACCCAUGUUGGUUACUAUAUAUAUGUUCAUCUACUUUCAACAUGGUUGUAUUUGAUAUUAAUAUGGAGAGAGCAUACAUAAUAUUUUUCUCUUGAAGUGAUUUAUUAAUGCUGCAAUAUUUAUAACUUCUCUUUCUGCAAAUUUUAAAGUUGUAGUGGUUAAAAUGGCUGGCAAAUUAGCUAUGGCCUGACAUAAUGAAAUACCUUACCUAAUUUAAAUAAAUACCUUUAAUAAAAUUUAUGUAGACAUAGUUGGGAAGGCUCCAUAUGAGAAGGAAAUGACAAGAUUGUGGUCCAUAUUAAAUUCCAACAAAAUGGAAAUUUUCAUAAUUGCUAUGAAGUAAAAUGGUGCUCAUGCAUUAUUUCUUUUGAGUGUAUAGUAUAUCGGAAACAACCUUUCUACUUCAUCUGAGAUAGUGGUAGGACUGCAUACAUUUUAUCCUUCUCAGACUUCACUUUAUGGGAAUACACUGGGUAUAUUAUUGCUGCUGUUGUUGUUAUUAAGUCAAUAGUCUAUCGGAAACAGCCUCUAACGGUAUGAACUGUGUACACUUUACCCUCUCCAGAUUCCACUUUAUAGGAAUAUAUUGGGUAUGUUGUUGUUGUUGUUGAGUUGAUAGUCUAUCGAAAACAACUUCUUUACUUUAUUUGAAGUAGUGGUGUGGACUGCGUACACUUUACCCUCUCCAGACUCCAUUUUAUGGGAAUACACUGGGUAUAUUGUUGUUGUUGUUGAGUCAAUAGUUUAUCGAAAACAACUUCUUUACUUCAUCUGAAGUAGUGGUAUGGACUGUGUGCACUUUAUCCUCCUCAGACCCCACUUUAUAGGAAUACACUAGGUAUGUUGUUGUUACUAUUGUUGUUGUUGAGUCGAUAGUCUAUCAGAAACAGUCUCUCUACUUCAUCUGGAGUAGUGUGGUAUGGACUGCGUACACUUUACCGUCCCCAGACUCUACUUUAUGGAAAUACACUGGGUGUAUUAUUGUUGUUUUUGAGUCAAUAGCCUAUCGAAAACAACCUCUCUACUGCAUCUGAGGUAGUGAUAUGGACCGCAUAAAUUUUACCCUCCUCAAACUCCACUUUAUAGGAAUACACUAGGUAUGUUGUUGUUGCUGUCGUUGUUGUUGAGUCAAUAGUCUAUCGAAAACAGUCUCUUUACAUCACAAAGAAAGAAAUAAGGUUUGUGUAUAUCAUUCACAAAGAAAGAAAUAAGGUUUGUGUAUAUCAUGCUCUUUUCAAACUCCACUUGUGAAUUACACCGAAUACGUAGUUAUUGUAUAUAUAAUCCACGAAAAGAGGCUCAAGUUUUUUUUUUGUUUUUAUUUUUCACCUGACGUGGAGUACUCAUUUUGGGAGUAACUCUGACUAAUCCAAAUUCACGUUAUGUAAAUGUUCAUAUUUUAAUAGAGUUAAAAGGAUCGAGACCUAUAAUUAAAGAUGGAGAGAUGUUACCUAUAUAUUCACCACAAGUAUUGGUGGUGAAACUUGAAAGGGAUCAAAUAUGGUAAAAAAUUCUUAGAUCAAACAUAGUAACAUACAAAAAUAUAGAUCAUAUAAAUUAGUAUGAAAGUUUAAUAUGUACCUAUUUGAGGAUUGAUGUACAAUACUAGGCCUCAGUGGAACAAAUACCACAUGUUGGACAGUUCAAUGCACUAAAAUUUUCGCUAUAUUUAGGGUUAACGAAAGAGCUAGACUACAAGAGUCUACUGUACGUACCGUACCCUGCAUUUAACAAGAGACUGUUUUCACGACCUGAACUCACAUGAAGGCAACUUUACAUUGACUGUACGUACCAUACCCUGCAUUUAACAAGAGACUAUUUUCACGAUCUGAACUCACAUGAAGGCAACUUUACAUUGACUGUACGUAUCGUACCCUGCAUUUAACAAGAGACUGUUUUCACGACCUAAACUCACAUGGAGGCAACUUUACAUUGAUUGUAAAGUAUCGUACCCUGCAUUUAAAAAGAGACUGUUUUCACGACCUAAACUCACAUGAAGGCAACUUUACAUUGACUGUACGUACCGUACCCUACAUUUAACAAGAGACUGUUUUCACAACCUGAACUCACAUAGGCAACUUAACAAUGUAAGAUAUUCAAUACGAGUUCAGUAAAAUUCAAUAAUUUUGAUUCAAACCUUCUAUAUAUGUUAGAGAAAUUUACCAAAUGCAUACAAAAUAAAAUUCAUAAUUGAAAUUAAAUGUUGUUUAUGAAAUUAAACCAAUUGCUUUCUUGAGUUGGGGUGGGGGCCUAUAAUACUAUAUUAAUUGGAACUUAUGGAAAGAUUAAAAAAGGACACCAUGUGAUAACAAAUCACUAAAAACCAAACAUGGAUUAAUAAAGUUACAAAAAUAUAAAUCAACAAAUAAAGUUUCCAACAUAAUUCACAAAAUUGAGAAAUAAUAGAUCUAGUGAUAGAGAAUAACUCACCAAUAAUAAUUUCUCAUUCAGAAUUUUCACUAAUGAAAUUCAAUUCAAUAUAUAAAGAAUUGAUAUAUGUACACACAAUAAUAGAUCUAAUAAGCAGAAUCAUGAAUUUCACUAAUAAAAUCCAAAAAUAUAAAAAGUUAGAUAUAUAGAAAAAAAGUCAAAG
rnacentral:lncRNA from 1 species